rnacentral:rRNA from 1 species
AAAAAUAGAUCUCAGUUCGGACUGUAGGCUGCAACUCGCCUACACGAAGUUGGAAUUGCUAGUAAUCGUGGAUCAGCAUGCCACGGUGAAUACGUUCCCGGGUCUUGUACACACCGCCCGUCACACCAUGGGAGCUGGUAACACCCGAAGUCAGUAGUCUAACCGCAAGGAGGACGCUGCCGAAGGUGGGAUUAGCGACUGGGGUGAAGUCGUAACAAGGUAAC